rnacentral:rRNA from 1 species
AGAUUGAACGCUGGCGGCAUGCCUUACACAUGCAAGUCGAACGGUAGAGUAGCAAUACUCGAGAGUGGCGAACGGGUGAGUAAUAUAUCGGAACGUGCCCAGUCGUGGGGGAUAACGUAGAGAAAUUUACGCUAAUACCGCAUACGAUCUAAGGAUGAAAGCGGGGGAUCGCAAGACCUCGCGCGAUUGGAGCGGCUGAUAUCAGAUUAGGUUGUUGGUGAGGUAAAAGCUCACCAAGCCGACGAUCUGUAGCUGGUUUGAGAGAACGACCAGCCACACUGGGACUGAGACACGGCCCAGACUCCGUACGGGAGGCAGCAGUGGGAAUUUUGGACAAGUGGGACGAAAGCCUGAUCCAGCAAUCGCCGCGUGACGAGGAAGAAGGCCUUACGGGUUAGUAAACUGUCUUUUAGGAACGGUAACGUAACGGUCU